rnacentral:rRNA from 1 species
GACGAACGCUGGCGGCAUGCCUAACACAUGCAAGUCGAGCGAGUGGAGUUCUUCGGAACAAAGCUAGCGGCGGACGGGUGAGUAACACGUGGGCAACCUGCCUCAUAGAGGGGAAUAGCCUUCCGAAAGGGAGAUUAAUACCGCAUAAGAUUGUAGCUUCGCAUGAAGUAGCAAUUAAAGGAGCAAUCCGCUAUGAGAUGGGCCCGCGGCGCAUUAGCUAGUUGGUGAGGUAACGGCUCACCAAGGCGACGAUGCGUAGCCGACCUGAGAGGGUGAUCGGCCACAUUGGGACUGAGACACGGCCCAG